GAUGAACGCUGGCGGCGUGCCUAAUACAUGCAAGUCGAGCGAACAGAUGAGGAGCUUGCUCCUCUGACGUUAGCGGCGGACGGGUGAGUAACACGUGGAUAACCUACCUAUAAGACUGGGAUAACUUCGGGAAACCGGAGCUAAUACCGGAUAAUAUAUUGAACCGCAUGGUUCAAUAGUGAAAGACGGUUUUGCUGUCACUUAUAGAUGGAUCCGCGCCGCAUUAGCUAGUUGGUAAGGUAACGGCUUACCAAGGCAACGAUGCGUAGCCGACCUGAGAGGGUGAUCGGCGACACUGGAACUGAGACACGGUCCAGACUCCUACGGGAGGCAGCAGUAGGGAAUCUUCCGCAAAGGGCGAAAGCCUGACGGAGCAACGCCGCGUGAGUGAUGAAGGUCUUCGGAUCGUAAAACUCUGUUAUUAGGGAAGAACAAAUGUGUAAGUAACUAUGCACGUCUUGACGGUACCUAAUCAGAAAGCCACGGCUAACUACGUG
rnacentral:rRNA from 1 species